rnacentral:rRNA from 1 species
AGUGAACGCUGGCGGUAGGCCUAACACAUGCAAGUCGAACGGCAGCACAGUAAGAGCUUGCUCUUACGGGUGGCGAGUGGCGGACGGGUGAGGAAUACAUCGGAAUCUACUUUUUCGUGGGGGAUAACGUAGGGAAACUUACGCUAAUACCGCAUACGACCUACGGGUGAAAGUAGGGGAUCUUCGGACCUUGCGCGAUUGAAUGAGCCGAUGUCGGAUUAGCUAGUUGGCGGGGUAAAGGCCCACCAAGGCGACGAUCCGUAGCUGGUCUGAGAGGAUGAUCAGCCACACUGGAACUGAGACACGGUCCAGACUCCUACGGGAGGCAGCAGUGGGGAAUAUUGGACAAUGGGCGCAAGCCUGAUCCAGCCAUACCGCGUGGGUGAAGAAGGCCCUCGGGUUGUAAAGCCCUUUUGUUGGGAAAGAAAAGCAGCAGGUUAAUACCCCGCUGUUCUGACGGUACCCAAAGAAUAAGCACCGGCUAACUUCGU